CCUACGGGGGGCAGCAGUGAGGAAUAUUGGUCAAUGGACGAGAGUCUGAACCAGCCAAGUAGCGUGAAGGAUGACUGCCCUACGGGUUGUAAACUUCUUUUAUAAAGGAAUAAAACGAGGCACGUGUGCCUUUUUGCAUGUACUUUAUGAAUAAGGAUCGGCUAACUCCGUGCCAGCAGCCGCGGUAAUACGGAGGAUCCGAGCGUUAUCCGGAUUUAUUGGGUUUAAAGGGAGCGUAGAUGGGUUGUUAAGUCAGUUGUGAAAGUUUGCGGCUCAACCGUAAAAUUGCAAUUGAUACUGGCAGUCUUGAGUACAGUUGAGGUAGGCGGAAUUCGUGGUGUAGCGGUGAAAUGCUUAGAUAUCACGAAGAACCCCGAUUGCGAAGGCAGCUCACUAAACUGUGACUGACAUUGAUGCUCGAAAGUGUGGGUAUCAAACAGGAUUAGAUACCCCUGUAGUC
rnacentral:rRNA from 1 species